rnacentral:rRNA from 1 species
UACGUAGGGGGCAAGCGUUAUCCGGAUUUACUGGGUGUAAAGGGGGCGCAGACGGCGAUGCAAGCCAGGAGUAAAAGCCCGGGGCCCAACCCCGGGACUGCUCUUGGAACUGCGUGGCUGGAGUGCAGGAGGGGCAGGCGGAAUUCCUGGUGUAGCGGUGAAAUGCGUAGAUAUCAGGAGGAACACCGGUGGCGAAGGCGGCCUGCUGGACUGCAACUGACGUUGAGGCCCGAAAGCGUGGGGAGCAAACAGG